GCUGGAUACUCAAUUGUAGAGAUCUCCUUCACAACCGCCGUCCCAGAUUCGUUUUGGACAUUCAGGAUAACCGGAAGUAUGGCGUACGCAGCAAUGAAACCAACUAAGCCAGGCUUAGAAGAUACGCAAGAGCAAAUCCAUAAGAUCAGGAUUACGCUCUCCUCCAAAAAUGUCAAGAACCUCGAGAAGGUGUGCGCCGACUUGGUCCGCGGUGCAAAGGACAAGAGAUUGAGGGUGAAGGGACCAGUAAGAAUGCCCACCAAAGUUCUUCACAUUACAACCAGGAAAUCUCCAUGUGGUGAAGGUACCAACACAUGGGACAGAUUUGAACUCCGUGUCCACAAGCGAGUUAUCGACCUUUUCAGCUCUGCCGAUGUAGUGAAGCAGAUUACCUCCAUCACCAUUGAACCUGGUGUGGAAGUUGAGGUCACCAUUGCCGAUCAAUGAGUGCACUCUUUUCAUGUUUUGCCUAUUUUUAGUCUUAUUAGACAGUUGUUACUUUUUGUGUUUGGAACAUACCUGUCGGGUCUGUGGGGUUUAAAUGCAAUAGUUCCCAUUAUAAGUUGAAAUUAACGACAUUGAGAGUUUUCAAUUCCUUG
rnacentral:misc_RNA from 1 species